ACUCGCCAGGGGAGUUCUAGCUGGGGAGCUUCGUGGAGCUCAUGGGCAGAGGCCAGGCUCGAAAUCCCCUCUCCUGAGUACCCCAGGCCCUCUUCACCAAGUGACAUCAGGGGUAGGGAUGUUCCAAAGGGUGACCUCCAACUCACAACAUUGCCUUGGGUGUGCUGGGGUUACAGACCUGCAUCGCUGACCAGGUCCUUUUCUCUUGGUGAUUAUGGGUCUUAAGACCUUCCAGAUGACCCCUCCCUCAAGCUAGAGGCACAGGGUGGAGGCCCCUAGGGAUGCUUUCAGAUGCCACACAGUAUGGCAGUGGCAGACACUGCCUGGCACUGUCAGAAUGACUGUGAGGGCUCAGGAAGCGACCGGGUCCUGGCUUGAGAGUGGCUUUCUUCUAAGCUACUCUUUCAUUUCAGCAUUCGAGACCUUCAUUCCUACGUGUUGCUAAGAUGAUCUCACUCAGUAGUCCAAGAUGGCCUUGAACAUUCAUGGCUAUCCAGUUCCUUCAGCCUUCUGAGGGCUGGGAUUACAGGCAUCAUCCUACCCAGCUUUUGGCCCUGCCUCCAGCAUGGGGGGGUGGGUGAUUAGGGUGGGGUUCCCUAUUCAGACUGAUACUGCCACCAGAGAGUUCUCUGUGCUUCCAGCUAUCAGGAGAUCACGCCCACAGGAGGAACUGUUCCAACAGCUUCAACUAUUUGUUCCUCCCACAGUGGCCAUAGGAAACCACUUAAAGCUCAGCACAGUCCUGUCCUUCCAGGGAGGACCCAAGGCAGCAGGUAAAAAGGAAACCUCUGGGGUUUGGGCAGCAUGCAGAGGCUGGCUUGGCCCAGAGGGCGCCAUCUUUCACUGGAGCCUCUCUACUGCAGUGCAGUAGAGACUACCUUUCUUUGAGCUUCAGGCUUACGGAGACUUCAACUCCCCAGAAUGACUUGGGGAGUGGAUGAAAUCUUGGCCAUUAAAAAAAAAAAAGACAUUGCAA
rnacentral:lncRNA from 1 species